CCGGCGGCGAGAAGAGUUCAACAUGUUCGCUGGGAGGAAACUUCUGCUCCUAAGAAAGAAGCCCCCGCCGGUGAGAAAGAGGAUCUGGAUGCCGUGCUCUCGGGGCCGAAGCUAAAGCCUACCGAGAACCCACUUUUGUCGUUCGUGAUGAUCAUCAUCGCUGAGAACCCUAAGAGCCGGUUCUGCAUAUACUGCGGGAUCAUGCCGGAGUGUCACGAACGACAAGGCUGUAAUGCUCUUCAAGGAUGGACGGAGAUGAGCGGACGGAGAAUGGCUCGCCUAUGGUGAGUUCCAAGUCCGCCUCGAGUAGUUUGAGAAUACCAGGAAAAUGAAGAUUAUAGUAAAUAAUCAUAGAGCAAACGUGAGCCGUGGUGCCCAAAGAAGCAAAUCUAUGCAGGCAAAAGUUGGUGCCACUUAGUCGACAGACCAUCCAUCUCUCCGGAUCACAGCAAAAUCAAUCUGGGGUAAGCAAGUUAAAAGUCUAACUUCUAACUUCCUUUCUGUCAUAUCAUUUUCUGCUCAAUCAACACCUAAAAAUUCCAUAUAGUCAUGGACAGGAUAUGAGGGUCCAAUGACAAUCCCCAUUGAAAUGAAAUCAGAUGCUUGCUAUUUCCUUCCCAUCAACUAAGAAUGAUCUCAGAUCAUGGACAUUUAUCAUUCAUGAAACAGUCUAUGGAUUUUAUCAUGUUAUUGCUGAUUGGGACCUUUAACUUUGUAGAGAGAUUUGGAUACUGCUGACAUUGUUUUUCUUCUCUUCUUGAUCCAAUUUUCAUGGUCUUCUGGGAUUAUGGCUGGCUGAUCUACAAGGACAAGUCAGUUCUCCAUUCUUUUUAUGUAUCAGUAGGUAUGACUAGCUUAUGAAGCAUUAUGUUAUUUGGGAGCAUCUACUUGAGUUUUUCAAUGAUUUGGUUUAGUUUUAUCGUGAUGAUUCUCUCACAUUAUUCCUCUCAAAAGCUGGAUACAGACAACCAGGCUCGCGGACAAGGUCUGAGCUAAGAACAAAUGCAGCUCAUAUUCAAUGAUAAACCUAAGCCCUACUGCAUAGUGACUAUAAUAAGGGCAUAGAAAAUAGCAUGGCUCUUUGCUCAUGCAGGGGGCCAAGAAACCAUAGGUCCCAUGUAAAGAAAUGAAAUGCACUGUUGCUAGUCUGUUUGGAUGCUAACAUAAGGAGUGCAGGGGAGCAAAGAAGCAACCAAAGAUACAAAAAGAAAGAAAGAAACACUCAAAGUCCCCCUCUCUCUUGAAUCUUCUUAUUCUUGAAGAGGGGAGUAAACAAAAGAAGGCAUGGAGGAGAGUUGGUUCUUCUCCAUUUUCUCUAUUUCUCUGCACGUUCUAUAUCAAGACUGAUUUAUCCUGUCAUUCUUAGUGUCUUCAGGCUUGUAGUGUUAGGUUAAAAUAGACUGUUGAUCACAUGAUGAGCUCAAUGGUCAUAAGCAUUUGGUAAAUGGUCUUCUGUCCUGACAUGGAUCUUCUACCAGUGGACUGGGUCUUGGUGAAAGGAAUAGCUUAAGUGACUGAUUCAAACUGGCAACCAAACAGUGGUUGCAAAGUCAAUCUGCAGAGAGGCAUUUGCCAAUCUCGGAGGAACACUUGUUUAUUUUUUAAAAAAAAUAGAAAAAUGUAUAAUUAUAUAAAAAAAAUCAAAACAUCAAUAAUUGUGGCUUCAAAUAUAGACAAUAACAUAGGGCUUUAUUCUAAAGUCUCGUAGACUUUCUUUUAGAUGUUUUUUUCUCUUUUCAUUAUAAACUCUUUAAAGGACAGAUUAUCUUUCCGAAAGCUGUCUGAAAAACACUUUUUUUUCUUGUCAUUUUUGGGUAAUCUUGAUAGACAUGACAGAUUCAAUUGGCUCAACAUUAGUUCUUUGACUUUUCCGAUUCAAUUAGUAUCCCCUCUAGUUUUUUCUUUUUUCAUUUAAAUCAAUCUAUCUGAUCUGAUUUUGAUAACUAUAAAAUUGAAUGGUCAAAGCUAUACAGGAAAUCGAUAUGCUUCUGGAUGAAUUUAUAGUCCAGAAUCUUGAACAGAGCCUCAUAUUGGAGAAGUACAAUAAUGGUGGCUGUCUAUGUCCAUACUUACGGGGAAGGUCUGAUGGUGACUUAAUGUAUAAGUUACCAUUCCCGUUCUUCCGCACAUAUAUGAAGUUGUUCAUCACAAAUGGUCCAAGUAGUGCAAGGCACUUCUUGUGAACUACUAUAUCUCUUUGUCCUCGGCCAUUGUAGUCGACACUAGUUUUCCUGCUUCCUGGUGCUUAAAGUCCUUUCUUGUUGGCCCACUUAUCCACUGAUUGCUCACCCUUGUCCUAAGCUAUGACUAUUCUAAGCUUGUUUUGGCACUCUCCUUUUCUAUUCUAUUUGACAUGCAUUUGCAUUCUCCAAGCCCAAAGAAAAAUAUUCACAUAUUAAUCAAGACUACUCACCUAAUUAGAUAUAUGAUUAAUUUGAUCAGGAUAUUACAGUCUCCUGCAGUUAAAAUACAUGCAUGCCAUAAUCUGAUGAGACUACACAAUCAGUCACAAUACUCAAAUAUGUCAAACUUCCAAGAAGUAACAUUUAGGUGUUUUUUGAGUUAAUAUUAAACUCAUGUAGUAUCCAAUGUCUAUAGAAUCAUUUCAGAAGGGAAGAGAAAUGAAAUGAUUAAGCUUGUUUGAGCAUUAUUAUUAGCUAAUGAUUGAAUAAGCAUCGAACAAAGGCUGAGGUGCCCAACACAUUGAAGUAGUUAUUGCACUCUUUAUUCUUCAACCACGUAAUGACUUCAAAACAAAUGUUGACCGAAGAUAACAACACACGGGCGGUUACGGAGUCUCGUUGACUCGAUCCAUUGCCCCCUCACUUCUUGGGCGCAAGGCGGCUCUUGAUAUCCUCCACCUCCUUGGUGCCGAUCUGGAAGGCCUUGGCGAGGACGUCGUCGGGCACCGUCGGGGUUGCCGCGAAGAGGGUGGCAGCGAUGGACUGGGUGCCGGGGAGCUGGCUGUUGAAGCCGGCGAUGACGGCGGCGGGCACUGCGCCGUUGUUCUUCUGGAAGUGGACGAGCCCACGGGGGAAGACGAAGACUUCGCCCUUGGUGAUGGUCUUGGCUAUCAGCUUGUUGGCGGUGGUGAUGAAGCCCACGUCGAGGGUGCCGUCUAGGACGAAGACGAUCUCGGUGGCGCGCGGGUGGGUGUGGGGCGGGUUCAACCCGCCGGGGGCGUAGUCGAUGCGGGACAUGGACACGCCCAGGGUGUUCAGCCCGGGUAUCUUCUCGACGUUGGCGCCGGUCACGAGGGAGCCCAUGGUGUUGUUGGUGGCGCCCGGCGUGGCCAGCCCCUUGAAGAAGAAGUCCGCCUCUGUCACGUUUUCCGCCGGCUUGCAGGCGAAUCCAUUCAGCUUGACGCCUGCACGCAGUGGUCAGUUUGCAGGAGAAAGAACAGCCUCUGAUCUCCGCAAAAUAGAUCUGUUACCUGAGCCAGGAUCUGCUACGCAGAUGUCUUGCAGCAUGUCGGGGUCCGCGGCAAGGCAGGGAGGAACAACGAGGAGGGAGAAGAAGGCGAGCAGCAACAGCGAAGGCUUGGUCAUGGCGGUCAGCAUUAUCAUCACCGUUGCUGUGCUUGGCUUGGGUGGGAGACUCGACUUUUAGGCUGUGCAGAAGAGAAGAAAGCGAUGAACUUGGGAGGGAAAAGGGGUGCUAUAUAUAAAUAAAUAUAAGGGGGUUGGUGUGAAGUGUGUAGGCACGAAAUGGAGGACCUCAAGCCAAGAAAUGAGGGAGAGAAGACCAAAGAAGGAGGCAUGAAAGGUGCCAUUAGUCAACUAUCCAAUGGAAAAAAAAUA